GACAGAGGUGCCAAGCGUUAGGCGGAAUCACUGGGCUUAAAGCGUGUGUAGGCGGAUCGUUAAGUGCCUUGUGAAAUCCCACGGCUUAACCGUGGAACUGCUCGGCAUACUGGCGGUCUUGAGCCAUCUAGGGGCUAUCGGAACAAAUGGUGGAGCGGUGAAAUGCGUAGAUAUCAUUUGGAACGCCAAUGGUGAAAACAGGUAGCUGGGGAUGUGCUGACGCUGAGACACGAAAGCCAGGGGAGCGAACGGG
rnacentral:rRNA from 1 species